rnacentral:rRNA from 1 species
CAGUCGCCGCGGUAAUACGAAGGGUGCAAGCGUUAAUCGGAAUUACUGGGCGUAAAGCGUGCGUAGGCGGUUUGUUAAGUCUGUUGUGAAAUCCCCGGGCUCAGCCUGGGAAUGGCAAUGGAUACUGGCAAGCUAGAGUGUGUCAGAGGAUGGUGGAAUUCCCGGUGUAGCGGUGAAAUGCGUAGAGAUCGGGGGGAACAUCAGUGGCGAAGGCGGCCAUCUGGGACAACACUGACGCUGAGGCACGAAAGCGUGGGGAGCAAACAGGAUUAGAUACCCCGGUAGUCCCUGUCUCUUAUAC